UACGGGAGGGGCAAGCGUUGUUCGGAAUUACUGGGCGUAAAGGGCUCGUAGGCGGCCAACUAAGUCAGACGUGAAAUCCCCAGGCUUAACCUGGGAACGGUCAACUGAUACUGUCGGACUAGAGUGCAGAAGGGGCAACUGGAAUUCUCGGUGUAGCGGUGAAAUGCGUAGAUAUCGAGAGGAACACCUGCGGCGAAGGCGGGUUGCUGGGCUGACACUGACGCUGAGGCGCGAAAGCUAGGGGAGCGAACGGG
rnacentral:rRNA from 1 species